rnacentral:lncRNA from 1 species
CUCCAACAACCCCCAAACCCAGUCCUCACCUCCCACAUGCUUUUCAUCACCCGCUCUCACAUCCCAUCUGGGGCCUCUGCUUCCAUCCUACCAUUUCGCAAGCCUGGCCAACUCAAGCUCCGUGUGCUGCACCUAGAGCAGCCCAUCUCUGUGUCAGGGAGGUGAGCUGCUCAGUUGCCAGAGUAUCAACCUGAGCCCAGGACACUGCCAGACUGCUGAGUCAAAGAGGGUUUAGCAGCCCAUUUUCAUAGACAGACAGGUGAGAGGAGGAUGCUGGACAUGGUCCCAGAGACAUGGGGACUCAAGAAACAUGAAGAUCUGUUCACAGCUAAGGGCACAUUUCCAUGCCGAGAAAUCAGGCGUGAGCGCAAGAGUCCUAUCGUCUACCAGAAAAAGAAAUCUUUGGGAACUCCUGCAGUGGCUGUCUCAAGGUCACUCGGAAUGCAGUUUUGCCUCUCUCUGCUGAGGUGCCCAUUAGCACCCUGCAUUGACAACUAGUCACGCCCCGAGUCUCCAGGCCAAUUUGCCUCCCCCACUCUGGGUUGCUGGGCAACAGGAAGGAAGCCUUGUACAGGGCUACAUCUUUCAUAGACAGCAAAGGGAGAACUUUUAGCUGCAUCCUGGGAAGGAGAAAGGAAGUGACAUGGCACUCAGAAUUGGGAUCUUCCAGCUGGGUCAACUCAUUCCACAAGACUGCAGAUCUCUCUUGCCAGUGCAAACACUGUCCCUUCUCAGACCUGGGGGUCGACCUUUGCAGAGGCGGGAAGCAAGUGAUGGAAUGCCUGAAAGAAGCCAAACUGCCUUCCGGGUCACAGCCUAGUUUGAAGUCUUGACUCUCUGCCCUUUGCUUUGCGUUAAAUUGUGGGUUGCACCACAGCACAAGUUGCUAGUUAUAAGUUAGAGUCCCAAGUUAAUUCAUUAAAAGAAUAAAUUAGGGAGACUUGUAUGAUCACUCACAUUCCCUUGUAUUUUGAUAGCUUCCUUGAAGGUAAAAGAAGAGUUAGGCUUACCUAGGUCAGCGGCUUUGCAUAUGCACGGUAUCUUAUUUCUCACAUAUUCCAUAGGCUCAUAAGUAGUUACAUCCACAAAUGUCAGAAAAACUGAUGGCUUGGCAGCAAUUAGCAAAUUAUGAUCACCUGCUACCUCUACCACUUGCUUAAAAUGAGCAGGGGAGCAUAUGGAAAAUGCAGACUCCUGGGCCCCAACUCCAAAAUACUAAGGGUGGAAUCCUGAAAUUUACAUUUUAAAUAAAUGUCCUCUUCCUAUAGCUAUCACUCUUUUCCUUCAAAGCACAGCAGAAAACAUUUCUCUUUUAUAAAGGAUUAAAUAUGUUUGAGUCUUUUUAUGUCCUCUUAAUCCAUUUUCUUUCACUGCCUCCAGCAGUGAAAACAGACAUAACUUUUUCAGUUCUUUGCAGAUAGUUUAAAAUGCUCUUUGUUCUGUGUUUUGCUUGGGAAUAAGUGUUUUCCCUGGGCUACAACAGAGACUGACAAAUAAAGGCCAUUUCUCAGGACAAAUUUGGCCGCUGCCUGUUUUUGUAAUAAAGUUUUAUCGGAAGUCCUGCCAUUUAGUUUUUUUACAUAUCGUCUGUGGUUACUUUCAUAGUAUCAUGGCAGAGGUGAGUGGUUAAGAGAGAAACAGUAUGACCUACAAAGCCUAAAAUAUUUUACUAUCUGGCCUUUUACAGAAAGUUUGCCAAAUGUUGGUUUAGAAGGGUAGUGAGACUGGCUGGCAGUUGAACAAACAUAUUUCCUUGUCUUCCUGGCUACAUAACUAGGACUACAUCUCCCAGUCUCCUUUGCAGUUGGUCCUGAUCAUGUGACUGAGUUCCAUUCAAGGAGAGGAAAUUGGCCUGGCUUGGUCCGUGAAACUUCCCUGAGUUUGAUCCCCCACGAUGUUGACAAA